rnacentral:misc_RNA from 1 species
ACCUAGCCCACGGUGUUUUCCGGAGCAUUCCAAACACAUGAAAACUCCAUAGGAAACAGAGGCCCAUUGUGGAUUCUUCUGAGAACAAUCGACACAGACCUUGUUACCGGUUUGUGCUUGGAGAUCCCGGAGACGACGUGAUGCCGCCAUUCUAUCGGUUCGGACGGCCCGGAUCCAAUACGUACGUCGGAUCUGUAGAGAGAUCGAAAAAUGCAAAAAUUGAGAGAAAGAGAAAAAUGGAG